ACAGCCUAGCUGCUGAUGCGGCGUUUGUAGGUGGCUAAGUCCUGUCAUGGAAGUUCCUGUACUGUUAUGUUGGACUUUUUGUCAGGGCUGCAAGGAAAAUGGAUGUUGAAUGUAGGAAGUUUACUCAUAAUUGCCAGAAAGAACUGAUGAGGUUGUAAAGCCACCUGCUAGGAAGUAACCUGUAUGUGAGAUGGGUUGAUAUAUUAUUGAUGCAUGCAAAAUGUAUUUAUUGUUAGCCACAGCUGCCUUUCGCUGUAGUUCCAUAUGUGCAACUACAUAGGUUCUUAAAUUAAAAUAAUGAAGUAUAAUUCUGCACAGUCAAUUAAAACGACUGCAUUUCUGUUGCUACGGUAUCACUGUAUACAGAUUCGGAAUAAGCAAAGGCGAUUUGAUAAUUUGUUGAACAUUUUUAAAUAAACUCGUACGCACCGUGUCUUAUAUUUCAGUUAGAUAAAACAACUGCUAGACAUUUUACUUCCAUAGUAGCAAAUGUAAAGCUAGUGUAUUUGAGCAUGCUAAUGUGACCAUGUGAAUUUUGAUGGGAGGCACGUCCUCCCUCAAUAUUACUUUGUAUCAUUAAGUUUUAAUUAAUAAAUAUGUCUGUUUAUGUAUUGCAUGGAUACAACAA